rnacentral:rRNA from 1 species
CCCUGGGUUAGUCGGGACCUAAGCUGAGGCCGAAAGGCGUAGGUGAUGGACAACAGGUUGAUAUUCCUGUACUACCGAUAACCGUUUGAGAGAUGGGAUGACACAGUAGGAUAAGCUAAGCACACUGCUGGUUAUGUGUGCCCAAGCAUUGAGGCAGUCAAAGUAGGCAAAUCCGCUUUGAUAAUGCUGGGAUGUGAUGGGGAGCGAAAUUUAGUAGCGAA